rnacentral:rRNA from 1 species
AACGAACGCUGGCGGCAUGCCUAACACAUGCAAGUCGAACGAGAACUUCGGGUCUAGUGGCGCACGGGUGCGUAACGCGUGGGAACCUGCCCUUAGGUUCGGAAUAACUCCCCGAAAGGGGUGCUAAUACCGGAUAAUGUCUUCGGACCAAAGAUUUAUCGCGUUUGGAUGGGCCGGCGUUGGAUUAGCUAGUUGGUAGGGUAAAAGACUACCAAGGCGACGAUCCAUAGCUGGUCUGAGAGGAUGAUCAGCCACACUGGGACUGAGACACGGCCCAGACUCCUACGGGAGGCAGCAGUGGGGAAUAUUGGACAAUGGGCGAAAGCCUGAUCCAGCAAUGCCGCGUGAGUGAUGAAGGCCUUAGGGUUGUAAAGCUCUUUUACCCGGGAUGAUAAUGACAGUACCGGGAGAAUAAGCUCCGGCUAACUCCGUG